rnacentral:rRNA from 1 species
GAUGAACGCUGGCGGCGUGCUUAACACAUGCAAGUCGAACGGGAAACCUUUUAUUGAAGCUUCGGCAGAUUUAGCUGGUUUCUAGUGGCGGACGGGUGAGUAACGCGUGGGUAACCUGCCCUAUACAGGGGGAUAACAACUAGAAAUGGUUGCUAAUACCGCAUAAGCGCACAGGACCGCAUGGUCCGGUGUGAAAAACUCCGGUGGUAUAGGAUGGACCCGCGUUGGAUUAGCCAGUUGGCAGGGUAACGGCCUACCAAAGCGACGAUCCAUAGCCGGCCUGAGAGGGUGAACGGCCACAUUGGGACUGAGACACGGCCCAGACUCCUACGGGAGGCAGCAGUGGGGAAUAUUGCACAAUGGGGGAAACCCUGAUGCAGCGACGCCGCGUGAAGGAAGAAGUAUCUCGGUAUGUAAACUUCUAUCAGCAGGGAAGAUAGUGACGGUACCUGACUAAGAAGCCCCGGCUAACUACGUGCCAGCCGCCGCCGUAACAC